rnacentral:rRNA from 1 species
AACGUAGGUUCCGAGCGUUAUCCGGAUUUACUGGGCGUAAAGCGCGUUCAGGCGGUUUGGCAAGUCGGGCAUGAAAUCCUUCGGCUCAACCGGGGGAGGUUGUCCGAUACUGCUGAACUGGAGGGCAGUAGAGGGUGGUGGAAUUCCGGGUGUAGUGGUGAAAUGCGUAGAGAUCCGGAGGAACACCAGUGGCGAAGGCGACUACCUGGCCUGUUCUUGACGCUGAGGCGCGAAAGCUAGGGGAGCAAACGGG